UUAUACUCGUACCUUUCGCAUCAUGAAUUAGCCAGUAAUUCCCAAGCAAAGCGCACUUUAGUUUGAAAUCCCGAAACUAAGUGAGCUACUUCAAGGCAGCCUAAUAAAGGGCGAACCCGUCUCUGUGGCAAAAGAGUGGGAGGACCUUCAAGUAGAGGUGACAGACCUACCGAACUUAGUAAUAGCUGGUUGCCCAGAAACUGAAUAAAAGUUCAGCCUUUUAGCUUCUCUAGAAACUAAAAGAGUUAGUCAAAGGAGGUACAGCCCCUUUGAACAAGAUACAACUUUAUCAGGAGGUAAAAGAUCAUAUCAACUUAGACACUAUGCUAUAGUGGGCCUAAAAGCAGCCACCCAACUAGACAGCGUUAAAGCUCAAGCAUAUAUUAAGACAAAAAAUCUUAAACCCCUAAACCUACUAGGCCUCUCCAUGCCCCCAUGGAGGCGACCCUGCUAAUAUGAGUAAUAAGAGGGAGCCCUCUCCUGGCACUAGCACACACCAGAACGAACCCCCACUGAAAAAUAACGUCCCCAAGCAAAGAGGGAACUGAACAAGACCCAGAAAAAUGUUCAACGUUAACCCCACACCAGGAGUGCCCAAGGAAAGACUAAAAGGAAGAGAAGGAACUCGGCAAACAAGCCCCGCCUGUUUACCAAAAACAUCGCCUCUUGCAAAUAUAAGAGGUCCUGCCUGCCCUGUGACUUUAAGUUUAACGGCCGCGGUAUUUUAACCGUGCGAAGGUAGCGCAAUCACUUGUCUCUUAAAUAGAGACCUGUAUGAAUGGCAUAACGAGGGCUAAACUGUCUCCUCUUCCCAGUCAAUGAAAUUGAUAUACCCGUGCAGAAGCGGGAAUAAAACCGUAAGACGAGAAGACCCUAUGGAGCUUUUAGAUAAAGGAUAGAUUAUGCUAAACAACCCCAACAAGAGAUUAAGCCAAAUAAUACCUAUCCCCAUCUUUGGUUGGGGCGACCGCGGGGAAAUAACUAACCCCCACGUGGAAUAUGUGUACACUUUAAAGCCAGAGCCACAGCUCUAACAAACAGAAUGUUUGACCAUAUAAGAUCCGGCACUGCCGAUCAACGGACCGAGUUACCCUAGGGAUAACAGCGCAAUCCCCUUAUAGAGCCCAUAUCGACAAGGGGGUUUACGACCUCGAUGUUGGAUCAGGACAUCCUAAUGGUGCAA
rnacentral:rRNA from 1 species